GGUGAGGUGGCCGAGUGGUUUAAGGCGCACGCCUGGAACGCGUGUAUAGGGGAAACUCUAUCGUGGGUUCGAAUCCCACCCUCACCGCCA
rnacentral:tRNA from 1 species